rnacentral:rRNA from 1 species
CGCAUCUGUGCAUGCAGCAUAUCAAUAAGCGGAGGAAAAGAAACUAACAAGGAUUCCCUUAGUAACGGCGAGUGGAGCGGGAAGAGCUCAAAUUUGAAAUCUUCAAGGUUUUACCUUGACGAAUUGUAGUUUAAAGAAGUGUUUUCUGUUGAAGUUUUGGUAAAAGUUCUUUGGAAUAGGACAUCAUAGAGGGUGAGAAUCCCGUAUUUGACCAUUAUUUUCAGCUGUGUGAUACACUUUCAAAGAGUCGGAUUGUUUGGGAAUGCAGUCCAAAAUGGGUGGUAAAUUUCAUCUAGAGCUAAAUAUUGGCGAGAGACCGAUAGCGAACAAGUACCGUGAGGGAAAGAUGAAAAGAACUUUGAAAAGAGAGUUAAACAGUACGUGAAAUUGUCAAAAGGGAAGCGUUUGACACCAGUGUUGUUUUCUCGAAAAUCAAUUAAAAAGAGUUAGAUUUUGUUGUGUACUGACCUUAACAGCUUGCAUUUCAAUUUUCUUGCUUUUUUUAAUGCACUUUUCGUUUAACAAGUCAACAUCAGUUUCUUUUGUUGUAAAAAGGUCAUUGGAAGGUGGCUUUCUUUUCGGAGAAAGUGUUUAUAGCCUUUGCCUCUGCAAUCGGAGAGACUGAGGUCCGCAGCGUAGACUCUUCGGGGUUAGAUACAUUUGUGCUAAGUUAUAGCUUUUUAUAGACAACUUGUUGACUAUGAUUAGUCUUGUAGCUUACUCGCUUAUGCUAUUUUACCUACGCUUAGGAUGUUGACGAGACUGUCGAUCUCAUCUAUACAUGACUCUGUGCAUAUCAAUAAGCGGAGGAAAAGACUGCGGAACUGAACGACCGCUACCUACGCUUACGAUGUUGACGCGCGUGUGUGCGUGAGUCUAUACAUGACUCUGCGCAUAUCAAUAAGCGGAGGAAAAGUACUACCUACGCUUAGGAUGUUGAGUCGUAGAGCCGCAG